rnacentral:rRNA from 1 species
UACGGAGGGUGCAAGCGUUAUCCGGAUUCCCUGGGUUUAAAGGGUGCGUAGGCGGGUAAGUAAGUCCGUGGUGAAAUCUCUGAGCUUAACUCAGAAACUGCCGUGGAUACUAUUUGCCUUGAAUAUUGUGGAGGUGAGCGGAAUAUGUCAUGUAGCGGUGAAAUGCUUAGAUAUGACAUAGAACACCAAUUGCGAAGGCAGCUCACUACACAAUCAUUGACGCUGAGGCACGAAAGCGUGGGGAUCAAACAGG